UCGACACGGCCGCACGAAUCUCCUGCA
rnacentral:sRNA from 1 species